CUCGUAGGCGGCCAACUAAGUCGGACGUGAAAUCCCUCGGCUUAACCGGGGAACUGCGUCUGAUACUGGAUGGCUUGAGUUCGGGAGAGGGAUGCGGAAUUCCAGGUGUAGCGGUGAAAUGCGUAGAUAUCUGGAGGAACACCGGUGGCGAAGGCGGCAUCCUGGACCGAUACUGACGCUGAUGAGCGAAAGCCAGGGGAGCAAACG
rnacentral:rRNA from 1 species